rfam:Asian citrus Psyllid, Diaphorina citri - Florida Strain, whole genome shotgun sequence.
GCCUAGUUAGCUUAGUUGGUAGUGCGUCUGCCUUGUAAGCGCUAGGCCGCGGGUUCGAUUCCCGCCCGGGUG